AAGUAAAUAAGGGCACACGGGGGAUGCCUAGGCUCUCAGAGGCGAAGAAGGACGUGAUAAGCUGCGAUAAGCUACGGGAAUUGGCAAAUGCGAUUUGAUCCGUAGAUUUCCGAAUGGGGCAACCUGACUAUUUGAAGAAUAGUCGUAUAAAACGCGAACGCGCUGAACUGAAACAUCUAAGUAGGCGUAGGAGAAGAAAAUAACAAUGAUUUCCCAAGUAGUGGCGAGCGAACGGGAAAGAGCCCAAACCGUUUAUGUUACGGCAUAGACGGGGUUGUAGGACCACGACAUUGUACAGCGCUAUGAACUGGAAGCAGGUGGGAAACUGCGCGACAAGGGUGAGAGCCCCGUACAGGCAAAGAAUGUUGACAUAGUGGUAUCCUGAGUACCGCGGGACCGGAGAAAUCCUGUGGGAAUCCACCAGCACCAUCUGGUAAGGCUAAAUACUCCUGAGAGACCGAUAGUGAACCAGUACCGUG
rnacentral:rRNA from 1 species